UACGGAGGUGGCAAGCGUUACUCGGAUUUACUGGGUGUAAAGGGCACGUAGGCGGCCCGAUAAGCUCUGCCUAAAAUGCACUGGCUUAACCAGGGCGUGUGGUGGAGGACUGCUGGGCUUGAGGAUGACAGAGGCGAGCGGAAUUCCCGGUGUAAGGGUGAAAUCUGUAGAGAUCGGGAGGAACACCAGUGGCGAAAGCGGCUCGCUGGGUCAUUUCUGACGCUAAGGUGCGAAAGCUAGGGGAGCAAACAGG
rnacentral:rRNA from 1 species